rnacentral:rRNA from 1 species
UACGAAGGGUGCAAGCGUUAAUCGGAAUUACUGGGCGUAAAGCGUGCGUAGGCGGUUUGUUAAGUCUGCUGUGAAAUCCCCGGGCUCAACCUGGGAAUGGCAGUGGAUACUGGCAAGCUAGAGUGUGUCAGAGGAUGGUGGAAUUCCCGGUGUAGCGGUGAAAUGCGUAGAGAUCGGGAGGAACAUCAGUGGCGAAGGCGGCCAUCUGGGGACAACACUGACGCUGAGGCACGAAAGCGUGGGGAGCAAACAGG